rnacentral:rRNA from 1 species
CCUACGGGGGGCAGCAGUAGGGAAUAUUGCUCAAUGGGGGAAACCCUGAAGCAGCAACGCCGCGUGGAGGAAUGAAGGCCUUCGGAUUGUAAACCUCUGUCAUGUGGGAGCAAAUGAAAAAGAUAGUACCACAAGAGGAAGAGACGGCUAACCCCGUGCCAGCAGCCGCGGUAAUAAAGAGGUCUCAAGCGUUGUUCGGAAUCACUGGGCGUAAAGAGUGCGUAGGCUGUUUCGUAAGUCGGGUGUGAAAGGCGCGGGCUCAACCCGCGGACAGCACAUGAUACUGCGAGACUAGAGUAAUGGAGGGGGAACCGGAAUUCUCGGUGUAGCAGUGAAAUGCAUAGAUAUCGAGAGGAACACUCGUGGCGAAGGCGGGUUCCUGGACAUUAACUGACGCUGAGGCACGAAGGCCAAGGGAGCGAAAGGGAUUAGAUACCCUUGUAGUC